rnacentral:rRNA from 1 species
CAGACGAACGCUGGCGGCGUGCCUAAUACAUGCAAGUAGAACGCUGAAGGAAGGAGCUUGCUCUUUCCGGAUGAGUUGCGAACGGGCGAGUAACGCGUAGGUAACCUGCCUGGUAGCGGGGGAUAACUAUUGGAAACGAUAGCUAAUACCGCAUAACAGUAGAUAUCGCAUGAUAUUUGCUUGAAAGGUGCAAUUGCACCACUACCAGAUGGACCUGCGUUGUAUUAGCUAGUUGGUGAGGUAACGGCUCACCAAGGCAACGAUACAUAGCCGACCUGAGAGGGUGAUCGGCCACACUGGGACUGAGACACGGCCCAGACUCCUACGGGAGGCAGCAGUAGGGAAUCUUCGGCAAUGGACGGAAGUCUGACCGAGCAACGCCGCGUGAGUGAAGAAGGUUUUCGGAUCGUAAAGCUCUGUUGUAAGAGAAGAACGAGUGUGAGAGUGGAAAGUUCACACUGUGACGGUAUCUUACCAGAAAGGGACGGCUAACUACGUGCCAGCAGCCGCGGUAAUACGUAGGUCCCGAGCGUUGUCCGGAUUUGUUGGGCGUAAAGCGAGCGCAGGCGGUUAGAUAAGUCUGAAGUUAAAGGCUGUGGCUUAACCAUAGUACGCUUUGGAAACUGUUUAACUUGAGUGCAAGAGGGGAGAGUGGAAUUCCAUGUGUAGCGGUGAAAUGCGUAGAUAUAUGGAGGAACACCGGUGGCGAAAGCGGCUCUCUGGCUUGUAACUGACGCUGAGGCUCGAAAGCGUGGGGAGCAAACAGGAUUAGA